GCCAGGCGUGGUGGCACAUGCCUGUAAUCCCAGCGGCUGGAGGCUGAGACAGGAGGAUCAUGAGUUCAAAGCCAGCCUCAGCAACAGCAAGGCACUAAGCAACUCAGUGAGACCCUGUCUCUA
rnacentral:sRNA from 1 species